AGCGAACGCUGGCGGCAGGCCUAACACAUGCAAGUCGAACGAACCCUUCGGGGUUAGUGGCGGACGGGUGAGUAACACGUGGGAACGUGCCUUUAGGUUCGGAAUAACUCAGGGAAACUUGUGCUAAUACCGAAUGUGCCCUUCGGGGGAAAGAUUUAUCGCCUUUAGAGCGGCCCGCGUCUGAUUAGCUAGUUGGUGAGGUAAUGGCUCACCAAGGCUACGAUCAGUAGCUGGUCUGAGAGGAUGACCAGCCACAUUGGGACUGAGACACGGCCCAAACCCCUACGGGAGGCAGCAGUGGGGAAUCUUGCGCAAUGGCCGAAAGCCUGACGCAGCCAUGCCGCGUGGAUGAUGAAGGUCUUAGGAUUGUAAAAUCCUUUCACCGGUGAAGAUAAUGACUGUAGCCGGAGAAGAAGCCCCGGCUAACUUCGUGCCAGCCGCCGCGGUAAAAC
rnacentral:rRNA from 1 species